UACAGAGGGUGCAAGCGUUGUUCGGAAUCAUUGGGCGUAAAGCGCACGUAGGCGGCCUGCUAAGUCGGAUGUGAAAGCCCAGGGCUCAACCCUGGAAGUGCAUUCGAAACUGGCGGGCUUGAAUGUCGGAGAGGGCAGUGGAAUUCCGAGUGUAGAGGUGAAAUUCGUAGAUAUUCGGAGGAACACCAGUGGCGAAGGCGACACCCUGGACUCAUACUGACACUGAGGUGCGAAAGCGUGGGGAGCAAACAGG
rnacentral:rRNA from 1 species